rnacentral:lncRNA from 1 species
GAAACACCAAUAUUUUCUAUGCAGGACAAUUUACCGGUCAUCAGCGUUACAAGCGAUCUGCAUCUGCGCCUUGGACCGGGCAGGGUCACCGUUGCAAAUGUAUCUUGCACCAAUGGGAGUCGAGUGCAUAUUAGCCUCCAAAUUGCAGCGCCCACGCACCAACGUGAGACCCGAGCGGUGCUUGUGUCAACGUGUCGCAGUAACUUUGCAAAUCGCACAUGUCUUCAACUCAUCUGUCUUACGCCACUGCUUUGCAGCUGCCCCUGGCUCACUGGCGGUGCCGCUUACCACUUCCACCAGUGGUCUCAGCCCCGACCAGUUGGGCAUCCUUCUCCAGAAUCUGCAGCACAGCCUGGACCAGCGCGGUGCUUCUCGCCUUACCAUUGGCUUUGCGCUGGCCCUGGCCUUGCAAACAAGUGGCUCCAUCGAACCUACGGGGAACACGUCCAGGGGCAGCUGUCCUUCAACAACCCUGAUUGCUAAGCUGCUGCUUCCGGCGGUGACUUUGUGCCUGACGCCAUUGUACGCGAAGCGGUUGUGCGAUGUCCCUUUGGCACAAAACCUAUCUCACCAUCAGGGUCCUGAGGCAGGCGUGCAGGUGGGCCUCCCCCGCUGACAGUUUCAGCAGUAGAUGAUCGCUUUAUUUUUACAGCACCAUGCAUGUCAAGGCUCGGCACUGGGCAAUGAGGCGUGUCCGCCGACAGCUCGUACAAUCCCGCUUUUGCAUUGCAAGCUGU